UUCUCAACGACCUAUUUGAAUAGUAGAAAUAAGAUGACUUGGAAUGUUAGGAAAACCCUGUGACCCCAAUAGUUUGUUCUUUUGAGAUAUACAUUUUUUAGUAGAGAGAGAAAAAUCCUGUGGUUAUCACAGUUUUACUCAAAUCUGUAUCUCUGAAGUCAGCCAUCCAUAGGAUGAAAUUUAAUGUAGUUUCACACAAAAUUCCACGCUGUUCUACCAUCUAUGUCUUGUUGCAUUUUCCAAAUGUUUCACAAAGUUUCUCUGAUCUGAGCAUUUUUGACACCAUUGGUGUGGCUAUGAGAAAUUACAGUCAUAUCCAUUUUUUAGUGGGUGAAAAGAAGCCUGAUAGUUUCCAAAUGUAAAAUAAACUCUUAGUAGCAGAUAAAUGAGUUUUUAAAAACUGGCUAUUAUAGCUGCUCUAUUGAAAGUUUUUAAAGCAUCAGAAGUGAAGUUAGAUCAGAUCAGAUCAGUCGCUCAGUCGUGUCCGACUCUUUGCGACCCCAUGAAUCGCAGCACCCCAGGCCUCCCUGUCCAUCACCAACUCCCGAAGUUCACUGAGACUCAUGUCCAUCGAGUCAGUGAUGCCAUCCAGCCAUCUCAUCCUCUGUUGUCCCCUUCUCCUCCUGCCCCCAAUCCCUCCCAGCAUCAGAGUCUUUUCCAAUGAGUCCACUCUUCGCAUGAGGUGGCCCAAGUACUGGAGUUUCAGCUUUAGCAUCAUUCCUUCCAAAGAAAUCCCAAGCUUAAUAAGACAUUGAUAGAAAUGUCUAAUUUCCUCCAGAAAAAAAUUAUUCUGAAAAGAAUUUGAAAAGGAAUAGAUACAUGUAUACAUAUAACUGAAUCACUUUGCUACUGAAUCACUUUGUACACCUGAAAGUAACACAUUGCUAAUCAACUGUGUGUGUACAGUUGCUCAGUCAUAUCCAACUCUUUGUGACCCUCUGGACUGUAGCCCGCCAGGCACCCCUGUCCAAGGGAGUUCCCAGAAGAGAAUACUGGAGGGGUUGCCAUUUCCUUCUUCAGGGGAAUCUUCCCAACCCAAGGUCGAAUCCGCAUCUUUUGCAUCUCCUGCAUUGCAGGUGGAGUCUUUACCAAUGAGCCACCAGGGGAAGGCCAUUAAUCUAUUGUACUCCAAUAUAAGACCAAAAAAAAAAAAUAUUCUGGUAAACAUGAAAGACCAGAAGGAAAAAACAUCCUCAGAAGAAGACCUGAGAAAAAAAGUAACUUGAGUGACAAAACAGAGCUGUCCUGUUCACUGAAGGCUGUUGAACAGAAUCUAACCUCUGUUCAGUAGAUGCCAAUAAUACCCUUGACAGUUGUGACAACCAAGUCUCUAGAAGAUGUAGGUGUGAGGACUGGAUGAAGACUGUCGAAAGAUAUAAAAUUCCAGUUAUAAGUAAGUACUUGCUAAGUUGCUAAGUCACUUCAGUUGUGUCUGACUCUGUGUGACCCCAUAGACAGCAGCCCACCGGGCUCCCCUGUCCCUGGGAUUCUCCAGGCAAGAACACUGGAGUGGGCUGCCAUUUCCUUCUCCAGUACAUGAAAGCGAAAAGUGAAAGUGAAGUCACUCAGUCGUGUCUGACUUAGUGACCCACGGACUGCAGUCUACCAGGCUCCUCCAUCCAUGGGAUUUUCCAGGCAAGAGUACUGGAGUGCGGUGCCAUUGCCUUCUCCAAAGCAUGCAGAAUCACAGCUCCCUGAUCAGGGAUCAAACCUGCACCCCCUGCAUUGGAAGGCGAAGUGUUAACAGCUGGAACGCCACGGAAGUCCUUCUUUUUCCUCACAUAAAUUCACUUCCAGGAAAUAAUCAAGAGACAUUUGAAUAGUUGCCAAAAAAAGGGAAGUAAGAAAUGUCUCACAGUUAGAGAAGGAUUAUGUAGUCAUUAAGAGGUAAUUAAAAGUUUUAAAGAUUUCCUUUUUGCAGUAAAUGUACAUCCAGAGAGGCAUUAUCAUGUAUAUUUUGUAAAUGAAAUUUGAUUUGUACCCAGUUGUAGGCGCACUAUGAUUGAAUUGAACAGGCGCAACACAAAAUUGAGUAGCUAAAAGAAAU
ensembl:lncRNA